rnacentral:rRNA from 1 species
UACGAAGGGGGCGAGCGUUGUUCGGAAUCACUUUUCUUAAAUUUCGCUUAUGCGGCCCUCCUAUUCUCUUUUGAAAGCCCCGGGCUCAACCUGGGAACGGCGCGCGAAACGGGGGGGCUGGAGUUCGGGAGAGGAGCGUGGAAUUCCCAGUGUAGAGGUGAAAUUCGUAGGUAUUGGGAAGAACACCGGUGGCGAAGGCGGCGCUCUGGACCGAGACUGACGCUGAGGCGCGAAAGCGUGGGGAGCAAACAGG